rnacentral:rRNA from 2 species
AGAGUUUGAUUCUGGCUCAGGAUGAACGCUGGCGGCGUGCUUAACACAUGCAAGUCGAACGAGAAGUAAAGGAACGGACACUUCGGUGGAAGGGACUUUACGGAAAGUGGCAGACGGGUGAGUAACGCGUGGGCAACCUGCCCUGAACAGAGGGAUAGCCACCGGAAACGGUGAUUAAUACCUCAUGAAGCGAUAGGGUCGCAUGACCCUGUUGUUAAAGAUUUUAUCGGUUCAGGAUGGGCCCGCGUCUGAUUAGCUAGUUGGUAGGGUAACGGCCUACCAAGGCGACGAUCAGUAGCCGACCUGAGAGGGUGAUCGGCCACACUGGAACUGAGACACGGUCCAGACUCCUACGGGAGGCAGCAGUGGGGAAUAUUGCACAAUGGGCGCAAGCCUGAUGCAGCAACGCCGCGUGAAUGAAGAAGGCCUUCGGGUCGUAAAAUUCUGUUCUAAGGGAAGAAGCAGUGACGGUACCUUAGAAGCAAGCUCCGGCUAACUACGUGCCAGCAGCCGCGGUAAUACGUAGGGAGCAAGCGUUAUCCGGAAUCACUGGGCGUAAAGCGUGCGUAGGCGGUCCAUCAAGCCUGAGGUGAAAGGCAACGGCUCAACCGUUGUAAGCCUUGGGAACUGUUGGACUUGAGUACAGGAGAGGAAAGUGGAAUUCCUAGUGUAGCGGUGAAAUGCGUAGAUAUUAGGAGGAACACCAGUGGCGAAGGCGACUUUCUGGACUGUAACUGACGCUGAGGCACGAAAGCGUGGGGAGCGAACAGGAUUAGAUACCCUGGUAGUC